GUGAGGAAUAUUGGUCAAUGGACGGAAGUCUGAACCAGCCAUGCCGCGUGCAGGAAUAAGGUCCUAUGGAUUGUAAACUGCUUUUAUUCGGGAAUAAACCUCUUUACGUGUAGGGAGCUGAAGGUACCGAAGGAAUAAGCACCGGCUAACUCCGUGCCAGCAGCCGCGGUAAUACGGAGGGUGCAAGCGUUAUCCGGAAUCAUUGGGUUUAAAGGGUCCGCAGGCGGGCUAUCAAGUCAGAGGUGAAAUCCCACAGCUUAACUGUGGAACUGCCUUUGAAACUGAUGGUCUUGAAUUAAGUGGGCGUUGGCGGAAUAUGACAUGUAGCGGUGAAAUGCAUAGAUAUGUCAUAGAACACCUAUUGCGAAGGCAGCUUACUACGCAUAUAUUGACGCUGAGGCACGAAAGCGUGGGGAUCAAACAGGAUUAGAUACCCUUGUAGUCC
rnacentral:rRNA from 1 species